CCUACGGGAGGCAGCAGUAGGGAAUUUUCCACAAUGGACGAAAGUCUGAUGGAGCAACGCCGCGUGAGUGAAGAAGGGUUUCGGCUCGUAAAGCUCUGUUGGUAGUGAAGAAAGAUAGAGGUAGUAACUCGCCUUUAUUUGACGGUAAUUACUUAGAAAGUCACGGCUAACUACGUGCCAGCAGCCGCGGUAAUACGUAGGUGGCAAUCGUUGUCCGGAUUUUUUGGGCGUAAGGGGAGUGCAGGCGGUACAAUAAGUCUGAUGUGAAAGCCUUCGGCUCAACCGGAGAAUUGCAUCAGAAACUGUUGAACUGGAAUGCAGAAGAGGAGAGAGGAAGGCGAGGUGUAGCGGUGGAAUGCGUAGAUAUAUGGAAGAACACCAGUGGCGAAGGCGGCUCUCGAAUCUGCGACUGACGCUGAGGCACGAAAGCAUGGGUAGCGAACAGGAUUAGAUACCCUGGUAGUC
rnacentral:rRNA from 1 species